rnacentral:snRNA from 1 species
AUUCUUACCUGGCAGGGGAGAUACCAUGAUCACGGAGGUGGUUUUCCCAGGGCGAGGCUUAUCCUUUGCACUCCACAUGUGGGAAACUUGACUGCAUAAUUUGUGGUAGUGAGGGACUGUGUUCACACUCUGCCCUAA